rnacentral:rRNA from 1 species
UAACAAGGAUUCCCCUAGUAACUGCGAGUGAAGCGGGAUGAGCUCAAAUUUAAAAUCUGGCGGUCUCUGGCCGUCCGAGUUGUAGUCUGGAGAAGCGUUUUCCGCGUCGGACCGUGUACAAGUCUCCUGGAAUGGAGCGUCAUAGAGGGUGAGAAUCCCGUCCAUGGCACGGACAGCCGAUGCUCUGUGAUACGCUCUCGAAGAGUCGAGUUGUUUGGGAAUGCAGCUCAAAAUGGGUGGUAAAUUCCAUCUAAAGCUAAAUAUUGGCGAGAGACCGAUAGCGAACAAGUACCGUGAGGGAAAGAUGAAAAGCACUUUGAAAAGAGAGUUAAACAGUACGUGAAAUUGUUGAAAGGGAAACGCUUGAAGUCAGUCGCGUCCCGUAGAACUCAGCCUGGUUUCGGCCUGGUGUACUUUCUAUGUGGACGGGUCAACAUCAAUUUUGGCCGGUGGACAAAGGUGAGGGGAAUGUAGCGUCGCUUCGGUGACGUGUUAUAGCCCCUUGCUGUAUACACUGGUUGGGAUUGAGGACUGCAGCGCGCCUUAUUGGCCGGGGGUUCGCCCUACGUACCGCGCUUAGGAUGUUGGCAUAAUGGCUUUAAGCGACCCGUCUUGAAACACGGACCAAGGAGUCUAACAUGUUUGCGAGUGUUCGGGUGGAAAACCCUUGCGCGUAAUGAAAGUGAAAGUUGGGAUCCUCCGCGAGGGGGUGCACCGACGCCCGGCCCUGAAGUUCUCUGACGGUGCUGCGGUAGAGCAAGUAUGUUGGGACCCGAAAGAUGGUGAACUAUGCCUGAAUAGGGCGAAGCCAGAGGAAACUCUGGUGGAGGCUCGUAGCGAUUCUGACGUGCAAAUCGAUCGUCAAAUUUGGG